AUCACUUCUCAGGCUUUUGGUUAAGAUCAAGUGUAGUAUCUGGUCUUAUCAGUUUAGUGUCUAAUACAUCCUCUAUCCAAGAACAUAUUAAAUAGAUUUUUGGGAUUAGAAGAUGGAAUAGCAGUUUGCUCCAUUCACUCCACACAUUGACCUGGUGUGGCAAUACUUCCAGGAAAGAAAAAAAAAU